AAGUCGUAACAAGGUUUCCGUAGGUGAACCUGCGGAAGGAUCAUUAACACGUAUCCACGUAUCUACCUCUUGCGAACUUGUUUUGUUUUGUAGUCGUGCUCAGGUAUUUUAUCAAGGAAGUAGAUGGCCAUGUCAGGAGAAAAAAUUCAUUUUUUUUCCUUGUUCUACUUGCCUUCCACCCAAUGUUUUGAGUGCUGGUGUAUUGAGAUCCUGUGAUGCCUGUUGUGGGCGUCCACAGUUUCCUACUAGCAGAACGCUCCUUGGGAUGGGUAUCUGGCGUGACUCGAAUCAUGGUGGUUAUUCACUAUUAACCCCUUUUUUUUAAAAUUUUUGUCUCAGUGUGAGUGGGUGGUGCCGCUUUGCGGUGCGCCCUCCUCAUCAAAAAAAAAUAACAAAGAUACAACUCUUAGCAACGGAUAUCUAGGUUCU
rnacentral:misc_RNA from 1 species